UACGUAGGGUGCAAGCGUUUAAUCGGAAUUACUGGGCGUAAAGCGUGCGCAGGCGGUUGUGCAAGACAGAUGUGAAAUCCCCGGGCUCAACCUGGGAAUUGCAUUUGUGACUGCACGGCUAGAGUGUGUCAGAGGGGGUAGAAUUCCACGUGUAGCAGUGAAAUGCGUAGAGAUGUGGAGGAAUACCGAUGGCGAAGGCAGCCCCCUGGGCAU
rnacentral:rRNA from 1 species